rnacentral:tRNA from 1 species
UGCGGGGUGGCUCAGCAGCAGAGCGCUUGCCUAGCCUGUGAGAGGCCCUGGGUUCCAUCCCCAGCACUGCAA